ensembl:lincRNA
AUGCAUCGGUCACCACAGGGGAGCAUUCACCUUGGUGCCACACGUGCCACAAAGCAUGCCACGGCCUGGGGGUGCCUUGCCAAGCUGCUCUCACCUACGCAGCCAGACCUCACCUGACGAGCACUGCAGUGCCAAACCCACAGCCCCUCGAGGAGGAAGAUGGCCCAGCCUGCAAGCACUCCCUGAGCAGCUGCCUCUGCUGACUUCCAGAGAGGGCCCCAGCACGGGGAGCGUGCCGGGCCAGUGCUGGUGCUGUAACGGCAUUCCGUGGACAUCACUGGCCACAGAGAGAGCCGUCUGAAUACACGCAUUUACCAGGAGCCCUGAUGCAUUGCCUGGGCUGAGGGCGCAUGAUCCUUCAGCCAAGCAGAAAGCUACCGUUGACAGCCUGAGAGCCUCAGGGACUGCCCUGCCCUGCUCAGACUCCCCCAAGAUGUGGACAGCCCUCGUGCUGGUUUGGCUUUCCUCCUUGUCCUUAUUUGGAAGCCAAGUGGCAUCUCGGGAGCCAGGGUCCCUAAUCCCUAACAAGACACAAAAUGUGUUAGUGAAGAAAAAUGCAUCCCUGGACACAGAUGACAAAACCACCACAGUGACACACGCUCCUGUCACGUUGACCCAAGGGACUGUGGCAGCCAAGCUCACCUUUGCUCCAGCCUCAGCAGAGACGACACAGAAGACAAAUGUGAGCACUCCAUCGGCUGCCCUCCCAUCGCCUAUCCCCACAUCUGUACGAUGGACCUCAUCCACAGCAGCUGCCAGACCCCCGUCUCCCAGCUCGCCCCUCACAGGAGGACCCCCGUCUCCCAGCUCGCCCCUCACAGGAGGACCCNNNNNNNNNNNNNNNNNNNNNNNNNNNNNNNNNNNNNNNNNNNNNNNNNNNNNNNNNNNNNNNNNNNNNNNNNNNNNNNNNNNNNNNNNNNNNNNNNNNNGCUCGCCCCUCACAGGAGGACCCCCGUCUCCCAGCUCGCCCCUCACAGGAGGACCCCCGUCUCCCGGCUCGCCCCUCACAGGAGGACCACGUAGCAGUGCACUGCCCGGAGCAGCAGCAGUGACAACAGAGGCCACACAGGCCCUGGCUGCUACUGCGACCAAUACCAGCCGUCCCAGCAGCACGCUCCGUCCUGCAGAGCACACGCCCCCCAGCUCCACAGCAAGCCCUGCACCCCCGGCCCAUCCCCAAGCACAAGGUCCCACCAUCCAGGUGUUGCCAAGCCAGCCAGUGCUCAACACAACAGGGUGGUCCACACGCCCCCCAGACACCACCCCAGAGUCCACCACCACCCACUCCGAGACUCCAGUGUCCUCGACAGUGGAGACUGUGGUUUCCUUGACGGCAGUGACUGCCACCCAGAUACAAACCGAGAAGCCAACUGCCAGCACAGUGCCAGUGCCUCACACCAGCCCAACCCCUGAGGUGGAGGCCACAUCCCCCACCACUCAGCCAAGCCCGUCGUCACCCACCCAGGGGGCCAGUGGCCCAGACACACUACAGACACCGGAGCAGGUGAAAACCAAGACCACACCUGGUGCUGCCUCCACGGGGCCCACACCCACAGACAUGUGCCCACUCAGCACCCAAGGCCAGUACCUGGUGGUCACCACCCAGCCCCUGACCCCGUCCCUGGUGAACAAGACAUUCCUCCUGGCGGUGCUGGUGCUCGGGGUGACCCUGUUCAUCACAGUGCUGGUGUUGUUCGCCCUCCAAGCCUACGAGAGCUACAAGAAGAAGGACUACACGCAGGUGGACUACCUGAUCAACGGCAUGUACGCAGACUCGGAGAUGUGACCGCGGAGCGGGGGGCCCCUCCUCCGCCCUCCAUUCUGCCUCUAAACCAAACCAAGUGCUUCCAGAUCUCUCGGUGCAAUUCAGAGAUAAGCCAGAUGCUUAGGCACAUUUAAUCCAUGUCAGAUUAACUCCUCCAUCACGAAAGAGUUGCUGCUUUUCAUAUUUAUUUUUGUAAAUGAUCAUGUGCUUGGGAGCAGCCUGGGAUCCUGCUGUGGGGUGGGGUGGCAGGCAGGUGCGCAGGCCCUGGCCCGCCCGGCCCCAGUGUGUGAGAUCCUGACCAGAAUUAAAGUGAUGUCUGCUCUCUACUCAGGAUGUCUGCUCGGGUGUCAGUGUCUGCUGCCCGCCGACGCCCAGGCCGGAGCCUUGGCAUUUUUCUUCUCUUUUUUUUUUACCUAGAGGCCCAUGGUCCGCGCAGGCGCUCCACGCCCAGUCCUAGAGCAGCAGCCCAACAUCUGCCUUUGUAAACAUUCAAUGUAAUGGAGGCCCUGGAGGGUCUGCUGUGUCUGGCCCAAUUUUAUGUGCUUCCUCUGAUGCCCAAGCCUGCCCAGACACCUGCCAGGAGGCCCCCAACCAGUGUUUGUGGCCUGCUGUGGCAGCCUCUUGGAGCAUGAUUUGGGCAGGAAAGGGCCAAAUCC